rnacentral:rRNA from 1 species
CCUGGCUCAGAGCGAACGUUGGCGGUGUGGAUUAGGCAUGCAAGUCGAACGAGAACGCGCCCUUCGGGGCGUUAUUAAAGUGGCGAACUGGUUAGUAACAGGUGGAUAACAUACCCUUUGGCGGGGGACAGCCUCUGGAAACAGGGAUUAAUACCGCAUAAAGCCGUAAAACCGUUGGGUUUUACGGACAAAGUCUUCGGACACCGAAGGAUUGGUCCGCCCCUGAUUAGCUUGUUGGUGUGGUAAAAGCGCACCAAGGCUACGAUCAGUAGCUGGUCUGAGAGGAUGGUCAGCAACACUGGGACUGAGAUACGGCCCAGACUCCUACGGGAGGCAGCAGUCUAGAAGCUUCCACAAUGGACGAAAGUCUGAUGGAGCCGACACCGCGUGCGGGAUGACACUCGUGAGAGCGUAAACCGCUGUCAGCAGGGAAGAAUGCCCGGAUGGUGAAUCCGGGAGUGACGGUACCUGCAGAGGAAGCACCGGCUAACUAUGUGCCAGCAGCCGCGGUAAUACAUAGGGUGCAAACGUUGCUCGGAAUUACUGGGCGUAAAGAGUGCGUAGGCGGUCUAAUUAGUCUGGCGUGAAAUCCCAUGGCUCAACCAUGGAACUGCGCUGGAAACUGUUAGACUUGAGAGCGAGAGAGGCAAGUGGAAUUCCUGGUGUAGCGGUGGAAUGUGUAGAGAUCAGGAAGAACACUCGUGGCGAAGGCGGCUUGCUGGCUCGUUUCUGACGCUGAGGCACGAAAGCUAGGGGAGCGAACGGGAUUAGAUACCCCGGUAGUCCUAGCCGUAAACGGUGGACACUGGGUGUCGGGGGUAUCGACCCCCUCGGUGCCGGAGCUAACGCGUUAAGUGUCCCGCCUGGGGAGUACGACCGCAAGGUUGAAACUCAAAGGAAUUGACGGGGGCCCGCACAAGCGGUGGAGGAUGUGGUUUAAUUCGACGCAACGCGCAGAACCUUACCUGGGCUUAAACCGCAGGAUAAACCAUCCGAAAGGAUGGCUGCUUCGGCAAUCCUGUAGAGGUGCUGCAUGGCUGUCGUCAGCUCGUGUCGUGAGAUGUUGGGUUAAGUCCCGCAACGAGCGCAACCCUUGUCGUUAGUUACCAGCGGUUCGGCCGGGGACUCUAGAGAGACUGCCCUCGUAAGGCGGAGGAAGGUGGGGACGACGUCAAGUCAUCAUGGCCCUUAUGUCCAGGGCUACACACGUCCUACAAUGGCGAGUACAACGGGUAGCAAAGCCGCGAGGCCUAGCUAAUCCCUUAAAGCUCGUCCCAGUUCGGAUUGUAGUCUGCAACUCGACUGCAUGAAGGUGGAAUCGCUAGUAAUCGCGGAUCAGCAUGCCGCGGUGAUACGUUCCCGGGCAUGUACACACCGCCCGUCACAUCACGAAAGUCGGUUGUACCGGAAGUCGCUGAGCUAACCUCACGGAGGCAGGCGCCCAUGGUAUGACCGGUAAUUGGGAUGAAG